GGCAAAUAAAACUUUGAAAUAGUAGAUAUUGCUGUUCAUUUAAUAAGCAAGGAAAGUUGGAAAUAUUUAACGGAUAAACGUCGGAGUUAUGAAUGCAAGUCCAGUUAGAUUACAAUUGAGCAUAACACAACGUUUUCAACAGCCGAACAAUGUCUUACAACUCUUAUGGAUCUACUAGUUAUGCCAGGUCUCGUGGCGACUGCGAAAGCGCAGUAGCUAUCAUCAUUUUCGGGAGUAUAAUUAUCUUUCUUCUGGUCGUUACACUGAUCUGUAUCUGCUGGAUAUGUUGUAGAAGAGAGCAUCGUCGAGAUGGGGUUAUCAUUCGACCUAUAGAUCACAUGCAAACAGGUACAGUUCUAUACAUGAAUCAUGAUCAAGUACAAUUAAACCAAAGUCAAAUUCGAAGUCCAAAUGUGCACCACGCACAUAUCCAGCAACCGCUUACACCAACACAUGGAAGUAACGUUCAACAGUGCACAGCUACCGCGCAAUCAUCUAGUCAGGCAGUUGGACCAGAGUAUAAUAAUUUAGCGCCACAAACCACUCGCGUAACGGAGUAGAAAUCUUCAGUGGUAUGAUUGACCAUAAAAACUGUUUUCUUUAAUUUUUGACUGUACAUGUAAAAAUAUCACAUAAGUUGAGACUGGAUAUUAAGAUUUUCAGAUAUCAAUAUUAUAACUUUCUUAUGUUCUAAACACUUUUAGAUCUCGUUCUUUUAUUAGCAAUGGUAAGAAUCGCCCUUUGUUGAAUUGUACUUUGAGUAAUGAAACGACAUUUUUAUAUUAUUCAGUAUAUUAAGUUGUUUGAUAUAGUAAAUUAAUACAUAGGA
rnacentral:lncRNA from 1 species